AUUGAACGCUAGCGGGAUGCUUUACACAUGCAAGUCGAACGAGUGGCGGACGGGUGAGUUAUAUAGCGGAACGUGCCCAGUAGCGGGGUAUCUCUACUCGAAAGAGUGUAUAAUACCGCAACCUAUUGUGGCGGCCGAUAGCGGAUUAGCUAGUUGGUGGGGUAAAGGCUCACCAAGGCAACGACCCGUAGCUGGUUUGAGAGGAAGACCAGCCACACUGGGACUGAGACACGGCCCAGACUCCUACGGGAGGCAGAAGUGGGGAAUUUUGGACAAUGGGGGAAACCCUGAUCCAGCCAUCCCGCGUGUAUGAGAAGGCCUUCGGGUUGUAAAGUACUUUUGGCAGAGAAGCGUUAUCUGCAGAAUAAGCACCGGCUAACUACGUGCCAGCAGCCGCGGUAAUUC
rnacentral:rRNA from 1 species